UACGGAGGGUGCAAGCGUUAAUCGGAAUCACUGGGCGUAAAGCGCGCGUAGGCGGCUUGGUAAGUCAGGUGUGAAAGCCCCGGCCAACCGGGGAAUUGCACUUGAUACUGCUGGGCUAGAGUUCAGGAGAGGGUGGCGGAAUUCCAGGUGUAGGAGUGAAAUCCGUAGAUAUCUGGAGGAACACCGGUGGCGAAGGCGGCCACCUGGACUGACACUGACGCUGAGGUGCGAAAGCGUGGGUAGCAAACAGG
rnacentral:rRNA from 1 species